GUAGCAUAAUCAAUUGUUUUUUAAUUGAAAACUGGAAUGAAAGGUUAAACAGGUUAAGAUGAUUUGCGUAGUUUAGCUAGUAAAUUAAAGUCAAGGUAAGAAUUCCUUGAUUUUUCUAGGGGACGAUAAGACCCUAGAAGCUUUAAAAAAGAAAAAUUUUUAAUUACUGCGUAAGUUUUUUUACUGGGGCGGUAUUAGUGUUUUAACUACUAAUAAUAAAGGCUGGUCCUUAAUAUAAAGAUAAUUCGGCGGAGUUACUCUAGGGGUAACAGUGUAGUAUUUUUGGAAAGGCCUUAUUAAUAAAAAUGUUCGCAACCUCGAUGUUGAAUUAAGAUGUCUACUUGGGGCAGCAGAUAUAGUAGAGGGUUUGUUCAACCUUUAGAGUCUU
rnacentral:rRNA from 1 species